UACGUAGGGUGCGAGCGUUGUCCGGAAUUAUUGGGCGUAAAGAGCUUGUAGGCGGUUUGUCGCGUCUGCUGUGAAAUUUCGGGGCUCAACCCCCGAACUUGCAGUGGGGUACGGGCAGACUAGAGUGUGGUAGGGGAGAUCGGAAUUCCUGGUGUAGCGGUGAAAAUGCGCAGAUAUCGGGAGGAACACCAAUGGCGAAGGCAGCUCGCUGGGACGGUACUGACGCUGAGGCGCGAAAGCGUGGGGAGCAAACAGG
rnacentral:rRNA from 1 species